rnacentral:rRNA from 1 species
ACGUAGGGGGCAAGCGUUAUCCGGAUUUACUGGGUGUAAAGGGAGCGUAGACGGAGAGGCAAGUCUGAUGUGAAAACCCGGGGCUCAACCCCGGGACUGCAUUGGAAACUGUUUUUCUAGAGUGUCGGAGAGGUAAGCGGAAUUCCUAGUGUAGCGGUGAAAUGCGUAGAUAUUAGGAGGAACACCAGUGGCGAAGGCGGCUUACUGGACGAUGACUGACGUUGAGGCUCGAAAGCGUGGGGAGCAAACAG